rnacentral:rRNA from 1 species
UACGUAGGGGGCUAGCGUUGUCCGGAAUUAUUGGGCGUAAAGGGCUCGUAGGCGGUUUGUCACGUCGGGAGUGAAAACUCAGGGCUCAACCCUGAGCGUGCUUCCGAUACGGGCAGACUAGAGGUAUGCAGGGGAGAACGGAAUUCCUGGUGUAGCGGUGGAAUGCGCAGAUAUCAGGAGGAACACCGAUGGCUAAGGCAGGUCUCUGGGCAUUAACUGACGCUGAGGAGCGAAAGCAUCGGGAGCGAACAGG